GGGAUCUUAAAGCCUCAUGUUGCCUCUGGUCAGUGCAAAAAGGGAUCGCUGGCCCUUGAAAAAAUCAGUGAUUGUCAUUUUAGAUGCCAAAAUAACUAAAGGGAAGUAGCUGCUCUCUGUAAUCUGGUCCCUGGCUGAGAGAGGCUGACAGAGGUUUAAAAAAAUUGUUUUUAAAGGUGAAAAGUGGGAGGGAAAACAGAGCCACAAUGUGACACACAGGCCAUGAUCAAGAGCCUCACUGUGAGCUCCCUGGCCCCUCUGAACGCUGCCAUCCAGGGGAAACGGCCCCAAGGAAAGGGAAGCCCGUGGAUCCCGAAGCACAGACUGCGCCCUGUUUUUCUGCGCACACCUCCCUCCCCACUCUUCUCCAGGAGGUUGCUGACUGGUUAGAACUGGCAGGUACGCAGAAGCAAGCUCACAGGGCGACACGGGUGAAGCAGUGGUUAGCAAGGAGGAAGAAACGGUCAGGAACAAAAUUUUGGCAGGUGGGGAGCGUGCAUCAUGAAAUGAACCACCCUCAACCCACUGGGACCUCUGGGGAGCCUAACAGAGACACCAGGAAUCCAAGGGAACACGGCCCAUGGAAAGGUGGCUGGUGAGCUUGGGGAAACGAAACCUUCGCAGACACUGAAAUCACGCUGGACCGAGCACACCUGUUCAGAAACCCAGAGCAGGGCUUGAGGGGAGCUCAGUAAAUAAAAUGGGGGGGGGGAGAGCAGACAGAAAAACAUUCACAGAGGAGACAAAUGGUGGGCAGGAAGAACAGACCCAGAGCUGCAGACCUAUAAGGAAAAGGCUGCAAUCCAGGAAUAUUCAGGAAUAAAUUCCCCCCCAGAAAGUAGAACCAGGACAAGGCGUCAUGUUCAGGAGGUGGUCUGGGGAGGUGAGGCCACAAAGGUGUCUGAUCUUCCAGGAGGGCUGGGAGGAGUUGAGGAGGGAAGGACUGGCCAACAUGGGACUGCUGCUGUGGGACCCCCAGGUCUCUGUGUGCUGAAGGGGGCAGUG
rnacentral:lncRNA from 1 species